CUGGCUCCUGGCUGUGUCCUGAAUGGCUCCUGGGCCUGGUGGUGCCUGGGUUCGUAGAGUUACAGCAUCGUUUGAGUUGGAAGGGACCCUUAGAGGCCAUCUGGUUCCACUCCCUGCGCUGAACAGGGACACUCGCAGCUCCAUCAGUGCUCAGAGCCCAUCCAGCCUGACCUUGAUGUCUGCAGGGAAUGGGACACCACCACCUCUCUGUUCCAGUGUCUCACUGCCCUGGGUUCCUGCUCUGCUGGGCAGCCACGGGUCACAGUGAGUAGCUGGAUCGUGCUUUCUAUUUAUUUCCAUGGAAACCGCAGUAGGUAAGAAUACAAUAACAUAUAAUGGGAUAUUGGUGGAAAGGUUCAACCUCUACUGCUGUAACACUACCAUCUGCCUCUGACAUUGUGGGCUGGCAUAGUAAAAUAGAAGGCAUCACUUUUGGAGCAGCCAUCAUACAAGCUUGUUCUUCUCUGGGUUAUGGGUCCUGAAGCACUGCUCUGGGACAUGUGGGCACCAUCUAGAUACGGAUGACUCUUGGCUAAGGUAGGAUUGCAGGUGAUGAGCAAAAGGUUCUGUUUGUGGGGCUUACCCCUCUAUAAUUCCUGCAGGGAUUUCAAUGCUCGGAUGGUGUUACUACUUUGCCUUUCCUCAAGGCUACAGGAGCAGGAAACCACACAGCUUGUGGUGCCCCCCUGGUCCCUACAGUUGUCCCCUGCCACUGUGAGGAUGUGUUUGGGCUCUGCUUUGUGGGAUAAUGGAUGGGACUGUCAGGCCUGUUGUCCCAACAACCCAAGAAGACAAAUGGUCCUACGUGUGCAGCAACCUUCACUGGCCCUGCACCCCAGAAGGAAGCAGCCCCAUGAUGGAUGGGCUGAAGAGCAGCACUGACACAACUGGGGCAGUGUGGAUGUCAGAGGGUGAGAACCACAUCCCUCUCCUUUCCGCUUGGCACCCCAGUGCCUCUGGGCCAGGCAGCUGUUGCUUAUCACCUCCCUUGGUUAUUGAUGGAAGCUGGCAGCACGAGAGCCCUGUCUAGGAGAAAGACACUAGUCAUGGUCCUAAUGUUGCUCUGCAGAGCUGCCAUCUGUCCUCUCCUUGGAUGCUGGUAACGUAUCUGAGCAUAUCAGCGCUGAGUUAAGUUUCUGGCUAGACUCAACUUUGCUCCCCUAUCUUCCUUUUCAGAAGGGAAGAUCCCAGACUGGCUCUUCAGGAUCUGGUUCCUGGGCUGUCCCUUCAUCUUCUGUCAUGCUGAGGAGCAGUACAGAAGUCUGAGGACUGGACCUGAUCAGCAAGAGCAGGAGUCCUAUGGAAUGGCUCCCAUCAGUGUGCAGGGAGGAUGCUCUGGACCAGCAACAGCCAACAGAACCCCUGAGUGUUCAUCCUCCAGAAGUCAACGCAGCUCCUGCCUCCUUCAACACUACAGCGGGAGCAGAAUUCAUUGCCUGCAUCCUUAUGGACAAGGACCAUACCCUGGGCCUACUUGUGUUGGGGUGGCAGUCCUGCUUAGACCUGCAUGCUGCUCAGGAGCUGUGGAGUUUACCCGUCUGCCUUCUCCCUGUACCAGCAGUGUCUCCACCAAGCCAGCCUGAAGCAAAGGAUGCAAAUGGCCCCACCUGGAGGUAAUCGUUCCCAGGUGAUGAUCCCCAGGGGCUGCCUUGCCAAGCCCUGCCAGUGCUGCAGGCAGACAGGGGCUCGCUUGGAUUCCAGCGCUGAGCUGGUCGGUGCCAAAGCCCAUUUGCAUCACUGUGAAAAAUGGUAAAAUCAUCGUUAGGUGUUCACUAAAAUACUCUAAAUUUUGCAGAACAUGAGGCGUGAGUCAGGCAUUGAGACCAGCAUCCAGAGGAGGGAGGGAGUGGGAAGAGGCGGCAGGAGUGCUUAUGAAAUAUUUUGUUUCACUGGCAAGAGGACAAGAAAUAAUUGGGCCCUAAAUCAAGGAAAUGGGAGAAAAGGAACAGCAAAUCAAGGGAAAUGGUGGAAAAUUAGGUCUUAGAGUAGAGAAAUGUGUACACAUGAUCACCUGGUAGUUCUGGCAAAGAUAUAUGCCUAUAAAUCUCCUUUUUUUAACCUUUUCUCUGCUGCUUCAAGGGGAUUAGCAUCAGAAGUGCUCAUCCCAUCCAUCUUUUCUAGAUGUGACUGGCAGUGCACCCCGGGGGCUGUGGGCAGCCUGGGAGCAGGAACCCCACUGCACAGACCCUCCCUGUGCAUGCAGAGGUGUAGAACCAUAGAAUUAUUUGAGUAGAAAGGGACCCUUCAAGGCCAUCUGGUCCCACUGCCUGCACUGAGCAGGGACACCCACAGCUCCAUCAGUGCCCACAGCCCAUCCAGCCUGCCCUUGAUGUCUGCAGGGAUGGGGCACCACCACCACUCUGGGCAGCCUGUGCCACUGCCUCACCGCCCUUCUUGUUACAAAACUCUUUCGUUCUAUCCAGUCUAAAUCUCCUCUCCUUUAGUUUGAACCCAUUUCCCCUUGCCCUGUCACAACAGACCCUGCUAAGCUGUCUGUCUCCUUCUUUCUAACAGCGAGUCCACGCCAUCUCAACCUCGGAGACCCAGGGCCAUUUAGGAUGCCCCAGCAGUCUGCUCCAGCCCCAAACCUGUCGCCCUGCAUUUAAACAACCCCCCGACUCCCCCACUCCAAGUCCCUGGCUUAACAAAAAGAAUGAAAUAUACAGAUAAAGCUUUCUGUGUUUGCUUUCCCCAGCCCUCCCUCCCACUGCACGGUGCUCAUUAGCUCCCCGAACGCUCGAGUCAGACGUGGCCUCUGGUUAAAAACAGCAUCCGCCCUCGUGCCUUGCCUGUUUCCCAGGAGCUGGCAGCCAGACAAUAACACCGAUGGGAUCGUCUUCAUCAGAACAUGUCAGCCCCUCCGUGAAAUUUAAGUAACUGCAACUUGGAGGCAGAAAAUGAUAAAGGAAAAAAAAAAAAAAAAAA